AUGAACGCUGGCGGCGUGCCUAAUACAUGCAAGUCGAGCGAACAGACGAGGAGCUUGCUCCUCUGACGUUAGCGGCGGACGGGUGAGUAACACGUGGAUAACCUACCUAUAAGACUGGGAUAACUUCGGGAAACCGGAGCUAAUACCGGAUAAUAUAUUGAACCGCAUGGUUCAAUAGUGGAAGACGGUUUUGCUGUCACUUAUAGAUGGAUCCGCGCCGCAUUAGCUAGUUGGUAAGGUAACGGCUUACCAAGGCAACGAUGCGUAGCCGACCUGAGAGGGUGAUCGGCCACACUGGAACUGAGACACGGUCCAGACUCCUACGGGAGGCAGCAGUAGGGAAUCUUCCGCAAUGGGCGAAAGCCUGACGGAGCAACGCCGCGUGUGUGAUGAAGGUCUUCGGAUCGUAAAACUCUGUUAUUAGGGAAGAACAAAUGUGUAAGUAACUAUGCACGUCUUGACGGUACCUAAUCAGAAAGCCACGGCUAACUACGUG
rnacentral:rRNA from 1 species